UUCAUUUAAAAAAAAAUUACAACAACAUCAAAAAUGGCUAUUGUUAACCAAAAAACACAUUGGUACUUAAUCAUUUCUAUCAUUUUCUUCUUCUUCUUGAUCACUUGUCAAGCAAGGAAUUUGCAAGUUGAUAAUUAUGAAUUAGUUCAAAAGAGUGGCAACCAACAAAUUGUUAUAAGCAAUAAAGAGAAAUCAAAGUAUGAAGAUUCAGUAGCAAUAGACAUAGAUUAUACUCCUGCUAGAAAGAAACCUCCUAUUCAUAAUUAGAAUUUGGAGAAUUAUCGAGUGACGAAUCUAAAAUUUAGAGUCAGUCGAUUAUGUUUCUGAUAUUAUAAGUGUUAUUAUUUUUUGUUACACGUAUAUAUACCUCAUUUGAGAGCUAGAUGCAAGUGGAUUCUGUCAAA